rnacentral:miRNA from 1 species
UUGACCUUCCUCCAUUGCUUCC